AUGCUGGGUGUGCAUGGCGAGCUUGUCUGGUUCCUGGUGGCGGCCCGCCUGAUCUACUGCGUCGCAGCUCCGGGCAGUGUCUCGGGGCUGUGGUGCUUCUCUUCCGGCCGUGUCUCCGAUGGCGACCUCGCCCUUCCUCACCUUGAACAUGCCAUGGUGGAGCGGUACUUCAUCUCACUCAUUGAUGGCGGCGAAGAUCGACGGCAUGGCGCUGUGGAGGCUCGCCGCCCGAUGCGCGGAGAUGGACUCACGCAGGAGGAGGUUGCUAUCUGGCGUCAUGGUGACAUCGAUGGCAGUGUGGCUAGACAAGGUAGAAGCCUCAAUAUGAUCUGA
rnacentral:rRNA from 1 species